UCCCAGGCCUCGGGGACAGUUUUCUUUGGCUAUUUUCACAUAUCUAGAAUCAGGAAGUAUGGCAUUUUUUUCACAGUGGUAUGUAAAAUGAUGGUGUUAUCUUUCAAUUUAUGAUUUCUUACGUUUAAUAAAACACGGAAGUAGACAUCUAGUAAGAGGCAGUUGGGGUGUUUUGUGGUUAUUCUACCUGUGGUAGAUUCAUGGUUCCAUCAACGUCUAUGGGUUUCAUUUUUGACUCCAGGUGGGUUGAGCCUUUUCCCUGGGGACAGAAGUCUGGCCCUGUCAGCCGAGGAGUCACUUCCACUGAGGGCAAGUCUUGGCUUGGCUACUACUCACCAUGAGACCAGGGCUAGUGCCGUCACCUCUCUGAACCUCAGUUCUCUCUCCUCUAUACGGGGGAUAACAUGUGAGGACAGAAUGGCAUAGAGUCCUAUAAAGGGCUUAGCACAGUGCUGCAUUGCAUACACAUUGAAUAAUGGUGAUGAUGAGACUAAUAAUUAAAUAAUAGCAUUACCUUAUAUAGCCAGAUUACGUUUCCUAAGAAGUGUUAUUAUUUCUGAAAUACCUGGGGACCCCCACCACAAAACAUCCAGCUUGGAUUCUCAGCAGGAAGGGAUCUCAGAACCCAAACCAGCGCUCCUAUCUGUGCUGGUGUGCGUCCAGGACUGCGGCCUCACCUCACACGCUGUCCCCCCACUGCCGUCCUCCUUUCUGAUCCAGCUUUCCAUCUCCCCAGCACUCCCUUCCUCUGGACUUUGGCCCCUCUGGACACAUUCCUUUAGGAACUAUUUGCCUUGGGAAGAUGGCUGGCUCAUCUCCCUUGGAAAAGACCACCAUAAACCGCAGGGUUUCUCAAGCAACUUCUGACCCAAGAGCUUCCCCAACGAGGUUCCUCUCUGUCCCCAUCAGCCCCCUGUCUCCUCUUGCACCAUUGCUCCCUUUGCCCAGUGGUCUGCCUCUGUCCUUGCUGGGAUUCCCUCAGUACCCGGUAGCCUACAUAUAAGUGCAUGUUUUUCUCGAAGCCUCUUAUCUCUACCUAAUGAGUCUGGCUUAUCAAAAUCAGUCAAGAUCUAUGUUUAUCACCAAGUAACUCACACACCAAGGCCUCCCCGUAUCUUGAGAGCUCCCUGGCAUUUCCCAUCCGAAGUUCUCCACAGUGUUGAGAGCAUUGCACGGAUUUCCUCUCCCAGUGGUAGAAACAGGCUUUCCUCUGGAGAGUGGGGGGCUGCAGGGACUCUACCAGUUCCCUUCUUUAUCGCUGAUACUUCUCCUCACUUCAUGAGGACGCAAGCUGGAACUAAUGACUUUUCCCCAGGUUGGCCCUCCGGCAAACUUUCCUCUUUUGAGGUGAGACCCACUCCCCCAAUCUACCUUGUUCCACCUUGAAUAGCUGAUAUGCCUCGUUGCAUGAGUCCCAGGGUUAGGAAAACCCAGAUUUUUAGGUGCACCUUUGCCAACAGAAUUGUACUGUUGCACAAGCCACUCCGGCAUGGCAUUUGAUGAAAGUUCUCUGACAUCGCUCGUUUCCCCUCGAGGUCUGGUUUUCAUGGGGUUGGAUCUGGAGCAGCACCGUGGGCCCUCCAGAUGCCCCUUGGGAAAGCUGUGGAAUUAGGACUUUUCACUGGGUUUGCGACACAGUGGAAUGACUCUCAUGGUCUAAGGACGGUGCCAAAAAAGUCCUAGCUUCUCAGAACUUGUUUCUGCUCGCUUAAGAAUCUUAAGGCCAUAGUGCAGUGUGCUGGCUGGGAUGGGGCAUAGGGCUUCACACAAUGCAGUGGCACUGUGGCAUCCUUGAAUCAGAGACAGGCAAGCACAACGUGUUAGACAAGACAUAUCUAUCUGCCUUUCUGUCCAUCUGUAUAUCCCCCCAAAAUUGUGGCAUUUAAGCCAGGCUGCGGAAGACAACGUGGCAUCAUAAAGAUGUCUAGACUACAGCAAGAUGAGCCAAACUCAAGCCAGGGGUAGAAAUAAAGCGAAGAAGGGCUGCCCACCUUGUACGCAGUUCUUACCCGGCUAAUGGGGAGAGGCAGUGGAGAGAAAUGAGUGGGCUUUCUCCCACUCCCAAAUGGCCACGCUACAGAGGUCUUCUCUUAGGGGGAUUUGAAGACUGAAGCACCUUGUGCAGGCAGGUUUUGGAACCUGGGGCCACACUAGUCCAAGCUCUCCAGGGCUCUGCUCUCUGUUCAUGCCCGCAAAGGAUGGAGGAAACGCGCUGGCUGGCCUACUGGUGGCAGCCUGUGUACUGCCCUCUGGGCACCCAGCUUGUCCCUUUUCCCAGUCUCCCCAUCCCGGCUCUCCACUUUGGCCCUGCUCCCACGGACUAGGGUGCCACAAAGAUUCUGCCCGCCCGCCCUCAUGCACAAAGGCACGUCUGUCUGGAGCAGAGAAGGGCAGGCCCUCAGGGGAGGGCCUGGCCUCCACACCUCUCCCCUUAAGGAAACAGACAGGUCCAGUCCAGUGCGUUGGGGAGAGGCUCUUGCCCUCGUUAAACAUCUCACAGGCUCAGGCAGAGAGGCACAGUGACUGCGUGAGAGGAAGGUGCUCUGUUUUGGGCACCUAGUGGGACAAUGCUAUGUGAGAGGGGUGUGACACCACCCAAAUCAAAUCAGAUUAAACCAGUCCGGAGACAACGAACUGCUGCCCAGUCCUUUGCUCCUCCAUCAGUCAAAAAUCUGUCCUCUGAAAAUCUCCUCGAUUUCCUAAUUAAUACACAUAAGAGAAGACACUAACCAUUCUGCAUUUGUCCUCUCUCCGAGACUGUGAUUUACAGAGUGACUUUGAGCUUCACUGUGGCUGUCACUGUUCCCAUGCACUUAUUUGAGCUACCCUUAGUUAAGUAUAAGGGACCUGACAAAACACUAGAAAGGAAUAAAGGUGAGGUCAUGGUCAAAGGCAUGGGCUCUGCAGUCAGGAUUCCUGGAUUUAAAUCCAGAAAGGCAGUUUGCCUACACGAGGAGACCAGGGAUGAAGCCUACCCCACGUGCUUGCUCAAAGGAUGCAACAAGGUAACACGAGUGAAGCACAUGGCUCCCAGCACACAGAAAGCAUCUCAGUAGUUUUAGCUAUGGUUACGAUUAUUCAGAAUGAGUAAAACCCACUUCCUGUGCUUGAUGGAGGGUGAGAAGUGAAAUCGUCCACGAGACAGACCAUGUAGGCAGCAGGAUGGGAGUGUGAGAACUGGGGAAGAUGGAGUCCUGGAGGAUGUGGGGGAAGCUGUAGCUGCUCGGCCAGGACAGACAGGCAUCGCAAGUGUGGAUAUGGAUGAAGGAAUGGCUUCACCGGGGCCCCACAUGUGGGACAUAGGUGGUCUUCUCCCCACAGGGGGCUGGGUGCUGCUGGGCAGGGUAAUGGGCAGGACACACAGGGUCACCUCAUACUCAUACUCAUUUGGAGUCGGGUCAUAGAGGACCUCGGUGCCAGUCCGGACUUCUGACUCUUAUCGGCAAGCUCUGGGGAGCCAGUGGAGGUUUUUGUGAAGGGAAUUUGGUAGAUGCUUCUAGUAACAUUUUACAGGAAAAUAGUGGUGGUGGGAGAGGGCAGGGCAGAGGCAGAGCAGAGGCCACGGGGCACAGUGCUCUGGGUUUCCAUCCCUGAGCAAUUCAUCAGUCUUCAGGUGCUUGCUUACUGCUCAUCUUCCUCCCUGGACUGCACUCUGGUCAAGGGCAGGGGCCGCGUGCUUCCUCAGCACUGUCGUACCCCACUCAGCACCAUCCCCGGGGCUCCAUCAACUGUUAUUGAAUGGAAAUAGGAAGGGAGAUGAUGGGUCCAAAACCACGGCCCGGGGUAGGCGGGGACAAUGAGGAGGAUUUGACAAAUGACAGGAACUUAACAUAGGAAUCACCAGAUAACUCGGGGUGUGGGUAUGCAGGAUGGAGGCAGGAAUGGAGAGGCUGUUCACCGACAAAGUAGACAUAAGCAGGAGAAUCCCACUCUACAGAGCAGAGGUGAGCUCCCUGGGGCGAGUGCCUCAUCGGAAAGGAGUCACCCACCCAUUCAGAGCUGAGAGUGGGGCAGGCAGUGGGGUAGGGCAGUGGGGGUAGGGCUCGGUGGAGAGGGGAGGUGCAGGACAGUCAGAGCAAAGGGAAGAGAGAAUCUGCAAGGGAGAACAACCUGGAACCUGAACAGAGCAAUGGACAGAGGCGGCUACCCUGGGGGGCACUCUGCAUUCUCAGAUCCAUGAUAUAAGAGUUCUCUCAGGGAAGCCACGGGAGAUAGGCCCAAGGCACAGGGCCACAGCAUUCAAAGGGGAAGCUGUCACUGGUCCAUGCUGCGCAAACCUUCAGAGGCUCAGCAGGUGGAAAAUGGAAGACAGAGCUGAAGGAUCAGCCUCGUGCCUCUAAGCUCUGUUGUUCUAAUUACGCCUUACACUGUCACUGAGUCCUUCUGGAGGAGGAUCCGGAUGCCAUGGCCUCCAUUACCAGAAACUUUCCACGGCUUUCCACUUCCUAGACAGUCAGGUCCAGAGUCUGUGUCAAAGCAUUUCAGUGACUCCACAUCUGGUCUUAAAAGCACCCCUUCUCCUACAUCCUUCCCCAUCCCAUCAGUCCGUGGCUCUCCCUCUCCUUGGUGCAUGCCAGGGACUCUCACGCCUUCAUGGUUGGUGUAGGCUGUUCCUUCAGCCUGGAAGGUCCCUUCCCCCACCUACAUGGCUGCUAGUUACAACUCUUCUUAUCCUUCAAGGCCUCUGUCGAAUGCUACCUCUCCUGCAAAGCCUUUCAUGAUAUUUCCAGGAGGUAGGGUCCUUCCUCCCUUCCAGGACCCAUGGAGUGCUUUGUCUAGCAAUUACUCCAUUCUUUCUAGGAUUCCAUAGAGCUGGUAGCUUGUCUCUCCCCUCUGCUAGCUUAUGUAUGAGAGCAGAGGACAUGUUCUAUCUUUGAAUCACCCACAGCAUGAGCUCUCAUGCACAGAAGGCAGUCAACCAAUACCAGCAAAGUGUAUGAAGGGAGAAGUACUCCAGAGCAGGAGUGGCUGGGAGCUCUACCAUUUCCCACUAUUUGUUUGGAAAUUCUGGGGUGCUUCAUAGUUAUUUGGCCUUAGGGGUCACUCUGUAAAUAAAUAUCUUGGCCCAGCAGUGCAUUGCCUUAUAAGCACAUGUAUUACCCAUGAUCUCUAGAGCCAUUUUGAUAGUGAGGAUACACUCUUAUACCUACAUGAAGAUUUUGCUGAGCAUUGCCUGGAGUUAAAGAAAAAUGGAAAAACUUAGCCUGGCCAUCAGAAGUGCUUUGUCAUUAUGUGCUAUCCCUGAUGGCAGUUUAGAGAAAGCCCUAGACAGUUCCACUAGGAUUAUAAAUGUAUUUCAAGAGCCAUGAAUUAGGAGGAUAAAGUUUCCCAAACACUCAAUUUACAAACUCAAAAAGCAUCUGUUCAUUCAAUCAUCUAUCUUUUCCUUCUGCCCCUCCACAUGGGCUCUAAUGGUAUUUAGAUGUAAUGAAUAUCCUGAUUUAUUUCUCAACAGCUUGCUGUCUGUAAGGAAAACAUAUAUUCAAGAAAUACAUUCAGCAAGGUUCAGUGAGCACCUACUAUGUGCCAAGAGUGUGUCUGGGUUAACGAUGUACAGUACACGAGUCAGGGUAGUUCUUUCUGCAGUCUGUGUUUUAGGGGUUAGAUAUUUUCUGUUUUGUUAUAUAAAACUGAGAACAGUUUAGGACUGCUGUAGACAGUCCUGCCUUUUUUUUUUUCCUACUUUGUUUUUAUUUUAGGAUAGACAUUUAUAAAACACAGCUGGCUAAAUGCUAAAUGCAGCUGUGAACAACAGAAUUUAAAUAUAUCUCUAAUCCAACAAACCUGGUUCUUGGCAAGAAUGGGAAAAAAAGUUAAUUGUUUUUUAAUUUAGUCUUACACACACACACAAAGAGUAGAAGGGUAAUAUAGCCAAAGGGUAAUAGUGAGUGAUUUUUUUUUCUUAAGUUCAUUUUACUUGGAUUCUGCACUAUAGAUUGGACAGGAGUUUUCCAAAACAUUCAACCUGUGAGAAAAGUCUUCCUCUAUUUUCAUAAUGAUAGAAACCACCCUUUUCUGAGCAUUCGUUCUAGGCUGGGCAGAUGGCUUAAGAGAGCUUUGCCUGACUUGCCUCACUGCACCCUCUGGGGUAUAUGCCAUUUACGCAUGAAGAAACUAAGGCUCAGAACAAUGAACUCGCCUGCAGUCACACUGUCGGUGAGGGAUAGGACCGGAACGUACAGCCAGCUGCCUGACUUCAGGGCCCACAUUGUAGCCACAACUGGGAUUUUUCUUAACCCACCUGCAUUGCGACACAGUGGCACCAAAACAUACUUGAGAGACUCUUUCAGUGCAGUUUUUGGAACUGAGGAGUCAAAGAGCAGGCAGCCCUGAACCCUGGUCAAUAGGAGUUCGUUCAGCCAGUCGGGGCCAAGCAGCCCCCAAGUCCCAACUCUGCCACUUGGACCAGCAGACGACACUGCCCCUAAACUUUAGCUUCGUUCCCAGUGACCAGGACUAAGAGUGGUACCCGCCUCACCCGUCUCUCAGAGGAUGCAGUGAGUUACAAGUAAAGUACCUGAGUAUAGGAAGACUUUAAAGUCGCCAAUUCAGCCUCUGCUUCCGUCCUACAGUAAGACAUGUUGAGAGCUCUUUUGAAGAGAUGUUCUUUAUCCUCGCUGAAACAGGGGCCUCCACACCCCACAUCUGACUGCCGUUCCGUCAGAAGAAGGAAAGGCCAGGAGGUGCCUGACAUCACUGCCUUGCCUUUGAUGCCCAUCAGCCAAAAGACGUUAUCCGUCUCUAAGCAUGAACAAUACAAUGAAGCUGGAUUUUCCAGGCAACCAGAGUGAGUUCUCUGAAGAGGCCACUGACCUAGAUGUUCGCCCUUGUCCUCAUACCUUGGACUCUGCCUCCCAGCUGAGUUGGACAUCCUGUCAGUCCAGGCCCAUCCUCCAUUAGCUGCCCACCCAGGUAGGUGUCCUCCCUUCUCUGUGGUUGAGUGGGCUUGAUCCAGUGGUACCUUGAGAUGGGACACCUUGGGAGUACCCCAUGAACAUUGGUUGAUCAGCAGAUCCUUUUUUAAGGAAAAAAAAAAAAAACUCACUUGCCUGUAAUUUGUGUCAUGUGUGGGUGUUAAGUUUACCUAACAAAUGACCGCAGAUUAUUUUUCUAGUAGCUUAAAUGAAGGAGUAUUGCAUUAGCCAAGCCACACCUAUUUGAUGAAGUACAAGGGGCAUGACUUCCACUGUGCACCAUCUCUGCUUCCCAGAAGCUGGCACAGCAGGCCUGGUAGUACCCUGACCCUCCGAGGUUGACUCAGGGUCCAGUGAACACCUAUCAGCAGAGUCCACGAGCAGCCCCUCUGUCCUGGGAUCAGGCAUCCCUGUACUAAGGGCGGGCGAGCGUGUGACAUCCAUCUACCAUCACCACAACAAAUACAGUCAUCACCACUGAUACUCCCCGCCUGUGAUGUCACACCACCGAAAGAAGCAGAUAGUGCCUCCUUGGGUCCUUUUUGCAACCAGGCGAGCCAUCUGUGUAUGACCGCACACUAGUUUUGGGAGGCAGCUUACAAGAAGCUCUGUGUUUCCUCCCUUAAUUGUUUAUGCAUUAACUUCGCUCUUGAUUAAGCACCUCAUUUGCAGAUCCAUUUACUCAUACUAAAAAAGGCAGGGUCAACAGAAGUGAGUCUCCAGUGUUCACCGGUGGCCCUGGCAGCAAUUAGAUGAUCUUGCCUUCAGAUAUACAAUCUCAAAAGGGGACUUUCCUCAGAAGCCCUCAAUGACCAACACAAAGAAAACAAAGGAAAAGGGAAUUUGUGACUGUGAAUCACAGGCUCCACCAAAAUCCACACUCAUUCACCCAGACAGCCCCAUACCCCGCCGGCCGACACUUCCCUGGACACCACUUUGCAAAGCCAGGCUCGUUUCUUUUCAACCCUUUGCCCCCAUCAGGCUGGCUCAGCCCCACGCAGUACCUGGUUUGUCCUCUGCCGGAUGCUUGCCUUCCCACUGGUGUGCACAGAGCUAAAUCAUAAACAAUCAAUCCCUGUGGGGAAUGAAAGGGAAAGUGCCCAAGCAGAAAAGAAUGCAGAGAAGUGGGGGUGGAUUGAAACAGCAGGAGAAAGCACGGAGUGUUUACAUUCUGCCAAGUCACAGAGGGAGUGCUUGGACCUGGUACCCAGAUAAGGGCUACAGAGAGGAGGAUAUGAUUUUCAGAGAAGAUCAGAAGAAGGUUGUCUGGGGAGCUCUGCUCUGUAUCACCCUUAACCAAGGACCCAGCGCUCAAGGAGGUCAAGGAACUCCAGACCACCACUUUCAGGAAGUGAAAAGGACAUAUGUUUAGUAAUACACCAGCAUCUAGAAGCUACCUCUGCUCGUAUUUCAUUGGCCAAAAUUAGUCUUAUGGCCACACCUAAAAUAAAAUGAGAUGGAGAAUUUCAAUCCUAUUUUUUUCUUGGAAGGUUGAGAAUUAUACAUUAUUGAGGAACCCGAAUUCUUUAAUUGUUGGGUGCGACAUUCUGUAUAUAUCCAUUAAGUAAUUUACUGAUCAUAUUCAAAUAAUCUGUAUCCUUACCCAUUAUCUGCUCACUUCAUCCUGUGGUUUUAUCAAUCUUAGCUUCACGUUUAUUAAAAAAAAAUUAUGUAUUAGAGAGAGAGAGAAUAAGCAGGGGGAGGGGUAGAGUGAGAGGGAGAGAGAAUCUCAAGCAGACUCCCUGCUGAGCACAGAGCCCAAGGCAGGGCUUCAUCUGAUGACCCUGAGGUCAUGACCUGCACCAAAAUCAAGAGUCAGAUGCUUAACAACUGAGCCACCCAGAGUCUCCUUGGCUUCAUAUUUUUAAAGCUACAAAAUGUUUAUAAGUUUUAUAAUCACUGUGUCUUCCUUGUGAAUUGAAUUUUUUAUUUUAAUGUGUCUUUUUUAGCUGUAGUAUUGAUUUUUGCCUUAAAAUAGAAGUUGAUAUUAAUAUAUACUGUUAAUAUUAAUAUAGUUUUGGUUAAUAUUUACCUAUCUUUCACCCUUUCGACAUUUAAAAAAUUAUAGUGUUUCUUAUAGUAUGUAGAUUUUUUUUAUCCAGUUCAAUACUCUUUCACUUUUUUUUUUAAAGAUUUUAUUAUUUAUUCGACAGAGAGAGAUCACAAGAAGCAGGGAGGCAGGCAGAGAGAGAGAGAGGAGGAAGCAGGCUCCCUGCUGAGCACAGAGCCCAAUGCGGGACUAGAUCCCAGGACCCUGAGAUCAUGACCUGAGCCAAAGGCAGCGGCUUAACCCACUGAGCCACCCAGGCGCCCCUACUCUUUCACUUUUAACUGAAGUAUUUUGUUCACUGAUGUUUGAUGUAAUUACUGAUAUAUUUAGAUUUAAAUCUGCCAUCUUAUUAAGUGCUUUUAUUUGUCCCACAUGUCCUAUGUUCUUUUUGUCCUCUCUUGCUUGUUUGGUGUGGUCGAAUAUUCUAUAUUUUUCCUCUAUUACCUUGGAAGUGAUACACUUAUUUUACUACUCUUUUAGAGGUUAUUCUAGAUAACAAUAUGUAUCUUUGACUUAUCAAGUCUAAAGUUAAUUGGAAUUUUUAUCUUCUUCCACAGUAAUACAAGAAUCACAGACCAUUUUAAUUUCAUUCACCCCUUCCUUCUGACUUACACAUACUUGUCAUAUAUUUUAAAAAUUUAAAUCCCCAGUGGAUAUUGUUAUGUUAUUUUAUAUAGUCUAAUUCAUUUGGAUUCUUCAAAUUAGCCUUUGCAUUGUUCUUCAUUUCUUCUUAUAUCUAUAACUGUCAUGUAAAACCAUCUUCCUUCUGCUUAAAGAACACUGCCUUAGUAUCUACUGCUAGUAUGGAAUCCUGAAAAUGCCUUAAUUUCAUUUUUAUUAUCACAGGCUGCUUUCAUGGGGUGUGGAAUUCUAAGUUUUCUCUAAACACUUUAAAGAUACUUAAAUUCUACUCAUUUCUAGCUACUGUUGUUUUUGCCAAGAAGUAAGCUAGUGGUUCUUUCUUUCUUUCUUUCUUCAAGUAAUGUUAGCUCUUUUACCUUUAUUUUCUCUUUGUCUUUGAUUUUCAUCUAUUUAAUGUGAUGUACCUACAUGUGGCUUUCUUUUUAUUAAUCAUGGUUGGGGUUCCCAGGGCUUCUGGAAUCUGUGAUAUUCUUGGUCAAUUUUGACCAUUUCUCAACUAUUUUUCUCUUCAAAUAUUGCUGCUGUCUUAUUGUAGCUCUUAUUCUAGAACUUCAGUCUUCAUUUUACCUUCCCUAUCUCUUAUUCCCUGACAGCAUUUUUCAUUCUUUUGUCUUCAUUUUUCAUUCUGAUGUUUCCUUCUACCCUACUGCCCAGUUCAUUAAUUCUCCCUUUAACCAUGGCUAGGCAGCUGGUAAACUCAUCUACUGAGCUCUUUACUUUUGUUACUAUGUAUUUUUUUUCUUUUUAAUUUUUAAUUUUUUAUAAACAUAUAAUAUAUUUUUAUCCCCCGGGGUAAAGGUAUGUGAAUACCUCACCAUAGCACUCACCAUAGCACAUACCCUCCCCAAUGUCCAUAACCCAACCCCUUUUCCCCCAACCCUCCUCCCCCCAGCAGCCCUCAGUUUGUUUUGUGAGAUUAAGAGUCAUUUAUGGUAUGUCUCCCUCCCAAUCCUAUCUUGUUUCAUUUAUUUGUUACUAAAUUUUCAAUUCUACAUUUCUGUAGAAUGAUUACGUACAAAUCAUCGUUGUCUUUUUUUUAAGUUUCUAGUUCUCUGCCAGAAUUUUUACUCUUUUAUCUCCUUUGCAUAGUCUCUGCCUGAUAACACUAGUAACUACAGUUUUCUGAGAUUGUUUCUAUUGUAGUUGUUUUCCCUGAAUCUCAUUAUAUUGUCUCGUUCCUUACGUGCCUGGUUAUUUCCAUGUGUGCAGCAACUAUGUGUGAAAAACUUUAGAAGUAACAGGAGACCUUAAUGUGUACUAUUCCUCCAGUAUUUACAUUUGCUUCUGCUAGGCACUUGGAAAUACUAGGCAUCUAGGAUCACCUUAAUCCAAUUUGAAGAAUGAAGCUCAUUGGUGGCUGAGCUGAGACCCUGCAAAAUGUGGUCUGUUUCUUAUUCUUCAGUUUUAAGGUGCAGUCCAUCAGGGCCCUCACCUAAAAUGGGGGGUUUCAGGACCCCCUCUCCUAUGGUGGGCCCUAGAUUCCAACUUUUGUCCCCUUAGGAUGCAAAACUGCUUCCAUUGCUGCUUAGCCUCUCACCUUCUCAGCUGUCUCUUCCAGAAGCAGCAAAUAUCCCAAGGGGAUGAGAUGCCUCAGUUGAUGGGCUUGCCCCCUCUAAAUUCCCAUCUCUCCCUAGAUCUUGGUUUAGCAAAUCUUCAUUACCUUUUUAACUCUUUGAUGCCCUUCAGGUUGAUUUUAUUUUUAUUUUGUCCAACCUCUGACAUUGUGCUCAGCAGGAGAGCAGGCUCCAGUGGUAUAGUCUGCUGUUACCAGAUGGUAGGGAAUAGAAACACAGGAAGCGAUUCAGGUUUAUGUGCAUCUGCACACCUUACAUGAGUGCUGGGCGCUUGGGUUAACCAGGGAGCAUGAGCCUCUUUUGCCAUAUGGAAACGGGAGUCUUAUGUUGCCAGAUUUUUCCUUUUUUUUAAGAAGCAGGAAAUGCAGGCUUUUUAAAAUGUGAAAUCACAAUUUUCAGUGGUGGCUAAAAAAAAAAUUGAACUCUCAGGAAACCGAAUAAGACAUAUUUGCAGUUCAAAUCCCUUUCGAAAUACCUGAACUAUAGUACAUGUUGAUGGGAGAAAGGAGGUUAAUGGUGGUCAUCUUUCACUAUUAACCUUAGCUUUACUGAAAUCUCUUAAAAAGGCCAAUAGGAGGGGCGCCUGGGUGGCUCAGUCUGUUAUGUGUCUGCCUUUUGCUCAGGUCAUGAUCCCCAGGUUCUGGGAUUGAGCUCCACCCCACUCCAGGUUCCCUGCUGAGAGAGGAGUCUGCUCUUCUCCCUCUGCCUGCUGCUCCCCCUACGUGUGCUCUGCAUUUGUGUCAAAUAAAUAAAUAAAAUCUUUUUUUUAAAAAAAUGCCAACAGGAGGAUGGGUUCUAUUCAUAACACCAACAAUGUUUCUGGAAAAUCUCCCAUCUCUCUCUCAAUUCCUUCUUAUGACAGCCCAACUACUACAAUCCCCCUUAACUUAUCUCUUAAAUCCCACCCCCACCCCGCCCCAGGUUCAUGCCAUCUCUGGCUCUUAGCUCUUUUAUCCUUCACCUUACCUUCUGAUCUAUUCUGCUUUCCCUCGCAGGUAAUUCCCUGCCUUUUCUUCAGUGGACUCAUCAAGCCAUCCCCACGCACAGUACCAUGUGACUCAAAAUCCCUUCCAGCAUUUUCCUAUAUUCCACACAAGAGAGGCUCUAAAACCUGCCAAGACUAACCCUCCUUCACAGGAAGUGGGGGUAGGGAGACAUGACGCUGUAAAUACUCUAAAAUCUGUAUUUUUUUUUCCCUGUCCCAUCAGCUGUGCCAUCUGGGAUGGGGUGAAGCCAGGACGCGAUGUCAUUUGCAAAGGAAGGAGGGCCAGUUUCCAGGAUGCUUUGGCAUCAAGUUGGGUUUUCAGAUGGCUGCCAUUUCCCUGUCACUUACCUUCUAUUGAAAGGACAGUGCCCCCGCCCAAACAACCACCCAUCUUGCAGAUGAGGAGGGAGAAGCCAGAAGGAAGAGAAAUCAAAUGUGGUCUUUUCCUGAUUUGCCUAAUAAUAGAAAGUUGGUAAAGCAUGUCACAGAAUAGAAAGUAUUUGAUAAAAAUAGCAUCUGUUAAGCCUAGGACUCAAGCUGGAGAUGCAUGGAAAUGAAAUGUAUUCCUUCUUGAGUGUUCCCCAACUAGUAUAACAAUUCUGUCUCCCUCAUUAAUGAGAGAGGUUUAAAAUGCUACUUUUUGUGACCAAAAUGCCUCUCUUUCCCAAGGCUGAAGGUGGAGGAGGUGCUGGCUGAAUUAAGGAAAGCACUAGACUGAGAGGCUCCCUUUGGCCAGUUGGGUGUGGCUCUACCUUCCUCACACCCACUCUUGACUUUGAGAUUUGGUGUCAGGGCCCCCCGCCCUUUACACCGGCUUGUGAGAUGGGGGAUCUGGGAGAAGGUUUUCUGGACAAGCCAAUGUCACUGACUCACAGGAGCCUAAUUGAUCAUCAUAACUGUAGCUUUAUUACUCUCUCAGAGGGAGGUCUCUGGCCAGGAGGCCCUCAGUAAAAAGGCAAACAACAACACCUCCCCGAGGCAGAUAUCCUCUCCUUCACAAACCAGCUCCUCAAAGGGUUGGGUUUUCACAUUUUCCUCCUGCUACGGAGGACCUGCAGGGGUGUCCCCUCAGCUCAGGACAGGAACCCCAAAUUGGGCCUUUCUCAAAGCACAUUCUAAAGCCCAGUGAACUCUCUUCCUCAUGACUGUCAUCUGUGUCACCUGCUCUUCCAGGUCCCAGCCCCUUGACGUCCUGCUCGUGACUGAUAGUCUUUUUCUGAAAAGCAAAACUGAGCCAAACUAACAAUGGACAAGAACAAGUGAUCAAGUGGCCCCUGUUAAAUAAAUGACCUGGGUUUUUAAUGUUUUUUUUUAAAAAACAUUUUUAAAAAAUGUUUUAAAUGUGAUGGGGCGUUUGGCUGGCUCAGUUGGUGGAGCAUGUGACUUUUGAUCUUGGGGUUGUGAGUUCAAGCCCCACAUUGGGUAUAGAGAUUAAAAAUAAAAUCUUUUUUUAAAAAACUAAAAAAAUAGGGGCACCUGGGUAGCUCAGACGGUUAAGUGUCCUACUCUUGAUUUCAGCUCAUGCCUUGAUCUCUGGGUCAUGAUUUCAGGCCCUGUGUUGGGCUCCACUCUGGGCAUGUAGCCUACUUUAAAUAAAGAGAAAAAGGGGGGCACCUGGGUGGCUCAGUUUACUGGGCUUCUGACUCUUGAUUUUGGCUCCGGUCAUGAUCUCAGGGUGGUGAGAUGGAGUCCUGCUUGGGGUUCUAUGAUGAGCAUGGACCCUGCUUGGGAUUUUCUCUCUCCCCCUCUUCUUCUGGCCCUCUCCCCUUGCACUCUCAAGCUGUCUCUAAAAAAAAAAAAUAAAAGAGGGGGAGGACCAAAAAAGGUAAAAAAUUAAAAACUAAAAAUUGUGGUAAGGUACAAAUGACAUACAAUUUACUAUUUUCAACCACUUCCAAGUGUACAGUUCCUUGGCAUUAAGUACCUUCAUGUUCUCAUGGAACCAUCACCACUCUAUCUCCAGAGCUCUUUUCAUAUUUUUUUAAGGUUUAAAUAAUUUUAUUUUCAAGCAACCUACAUGCCUUUCUAUUUUCUCCUUAAAAACAAUGCCUCUCCUCCAAAUAAACCAAGGCCAGAUUAAAUAGAGAGCUCAAGAGGUCUAUCACCCAUUUGUCUAAGUGCUGGUGGUGUGGGCAUGAAAAGCAGCAGCAGUUACAACAGCAGGCAAUAGAUCUAAAGUAAUAGCCAAACUUAUUCUCAUUUUCCCAUUCCUAAACCAUCCUUAAAGGAAGUCAUACUGGGAGUUCUCGCUGUCCUCACAGUAGCACAGUAGUCCAGCAGAGCAACAAGGCCAUCUGGAUUUGUGUUCCCAUCAAUAAAGAGCUGGUGGUUUUUGCAGUUAGCAAGGAUUUAUUCUGUAACCUGGGUCUCUGUUCUUCAGGUUUGCCUUUGGUUGAGUUCAUGUUGUCUGUGAUGUACUUCUUAUAGGCUCUUUUAACGUGAAGCUGGUUUCUUGCAAGUGAUGGCCAUGACCGUAUCAACACCAGUGACUGCCUUGGGUAUCUUCUUUACCUGUCAGGUUCUUUAGUGGAGGCAUUGCCAUAAAUGAACAGUGGAACCUAGAGGUCAGGAAAUCAACUCUUAUCAUCAAACCGACCCAGAGAGACCCCCAGCUCAGCCAGUUGCUAUCUGGGAGACCUUGGACAAGUUACUUCAAUGCUCUGUGCCUCCUCACCUCACCUCAAAGAUGGCCAUCACAAUAGUAUAUACCUCAUGGGACUAUUAGAAGCUUUGAUAAAUAAUCAAACUUCAGAAAUGUGUGGCACAAGAAGAACUACAGAUGUCAUCCAGGUGACUGCGGUGCUGGCUCAAGCGUGAGAACCACUACUUUCUAGUCCAGAGAAUCUUCCAGGGUAUUAGCUGGGAUGCAAAACCACGUUGCUAUCUGAUCUCGUCACGCUUCUGCCAAGAGGAAAUCUAAGAGCCCAGGUUCUUGAUGCCUGACAUCUUCUUCAGGUCACUUACCUGAGAACACUUGAGGACACCGAGGGCAAGCCUAGGGAAGGGAAACGGCGCUGCAGGCUGCGGAGGGUGGCAGAAGCUUCUGAGGGCCAUUGGACUGGAGCUAAGCCUUGGAAGGUGAGGGGACUCCAGGUGAGCAGAGGGGAGGGAGGGGCCCUUCCAGCCCAAAGCAGGAAGGAGUGUGAGGGGCCAUGGCAGCCUGUGGGGGCUGGAGGAUAUGAUGCAGAGUCGUGGGAAGUGAGGCUGGAUGGGUCCCCAGUUGGAGGAGGUAACAGAUGAAGUUGGAGUUGUUUCCUGAGCAGAGAACUGUGUGGAAGAAUGAAUUCUAUCGGUACCAAGAAGGCAUCCUGUCCUGCAGGAGUCACGAUGGAAAGGCGUGUGGUGUGAAGCAGGUCAGGUAUGAAGCAGUCGGGCUGGGAGGGGCCUACUCUAAUGAGCAGUCGGGCUGGGAGGGGCCCACUCUAAUGUGGGGAAUCACUGGGCAGUCAGAACGCAGAACUCUGGACUUCUUUCUCUUAAUGUAAAGUUUCUCCAUUUUUUAGAAGAGGCUAGGUUUUUAAAAACUGAGGUAUAAUUGACACCCUGUUAUGUUGGUUUCAGGUGUACAACAUGGUGAUUUGAUGAGUGUAUCCAUGAUGCUGUGUUCCCCACGAGUUAGCUCCCAUCUGUCCCCAAACAGUGCUGUUACUGUUCCACUGACUGUAUUCCCUGUGCUGUAUCUUCCAUCCCCGUGGCUUAUUUAUUCUGUAAUUGGAAGCCUGAACCUCCCACUCCCCGUCACGCGUCUUCCUCACCAACCCCAGCCUCUUAACCUCUGGCAACUGUCAGUCUUUUCUCUGUAUUAUGGGUCUACUUCUGCUCGUUUUCAUUGGUGUCAUUCAUUUGCUUCGAUUUUUAGAUUCCACAUAUAUGUGCAAUCACAUGGUAUUUGUUUUUCUCUCUCUGACUUAUUUCACUUAGUGUAAUUCCCUCUAGGUCCAUCUGUGUGGUUGCAAAUGGCAAGAUCUUAUAUAUUUUUAUGGCUGAGCAAUAUUCCACGGUUUAUACAUCAUAUCUUCUUUAUCCAUUGCAUCCACUGAUGAACAUUUGGUUUGCGUCCAUAUCUUGACUAUUGUGAAUAAUGCUGCAGUAAAAAAGGGCACAUAUA